rnacentral:rRNA from 1 species
GAUGAACGCUGGCGGCGUGCUUAACACAUGCAAGUCGAACGGUGAAGCCCUUCGGGGUGGAUCAGUGGCGAACGGGUGAGUAACACGUGAGCAACCUGCCCCUGGCUCUGGGACAACCACUGGAAACGGUGGCUAAUACCGGAUACGACCCGCCUCGGCAUCGAGUGUGGGUGGAAAGUUUUUCGGCUGGGGAUGGGCUCGCGGCCUAUCAGCUUGUUGGUGAGGUGAAGGCUCACCAAGGCGACGACGGGUAGCCGGCCUGAGAGGGCGACCGGCCACACUGGGACUGAGACACGGCCCAGACUCCUACGGGAGGCAGCAGUGGGGAAUAUUGCACAAUGGGCGAAAGCCUGAUGCAGCGACGCCGCGUGAGGGAUGACGGCCUUCGGGUUGUAAACCUCUUUCAGCUCCGAAGAAGCGAAAGUGACGGUAGGAGCAGAAGAAGCACCGGCUAACUACGUG